CUCACAUGAUUGACAAUCAUGGGCACCGCCCCACUAAAGCAAUCAGAGAAGAUUAUGCACGUGGGAUAGUGAUGUUGUUCCCUUCCCUCAAGGAUCCAUACUCCAAGAAGGGCUAUGAACACUUCUAUGAUGCUGCAAGCAGCA